rnacentral:ncRNA from 1 species
AUCUUGAGGUGGAGUAUGAAGUAAUCCUAAGGCAAUCCCUUGGUCUGACAAACAAAAAUCACAUAUAGGGCAUAUGCAGAGCAGACAAACUUGCAUCACAAAGCAAAGUCCAAUACUGCCCAACCCUGCGGUGUAAGUGUGACAGAUGUAUGAGCGGUAGGUUAC